rnacentral:tRNA from 1 species
CAGCAAGUAUUUUAAUAAAAAUAUUAAUUUUGGGUAUUAAUGAUGUGUAUUUUUCACUUUGUUGA